rnacentral:lncRNA from 1 species
AUGGUACCAUGGACCACGACAAAGGAAUUCGCAACUGCGACCAUGGCCAAUAAAGCCCACAUGAAGCGCUUCAGCCUAAACAGCGAUGAAUGCCACGAUCACAACCACCGACACCAUCGACGCCACCGACACUGCAGACCUACCACGCGACCUGCAAAAAUGACAAGUCUCAGUUCAACAACAACAUCCGUCAAUGCAAUGCUGAGUUCUGGAGUACAGCUUACCUCAACUACUGCACAAUGGAGCACAUUACUCACUGCUACAAGUUAUGUGACCACACCAUCAUCUAGUAGUCCUGCUACUACUGCAAAAACAACCACUACAACACCAGUUCCAGCAGCGGCAAAAUCCAUCACUACACCUCUUGCUCCUACAGCUGCAGACUUCACCACUUCACCUCCUGCUCAUAUAGUGGCACAGUCCACAAUUACACCACCAGCUCCUACAGAGGAAAAAUCCACAACUACACAUCCUGUUCUUACAGUGACACAGUCCAAAACUACACUUCCAGUUUCUACAACCACAGAUUCCAUCACUGAACCUCAUGCAACAACUGCACAAUCCCCUGCUACAACUCCUGCUCCUGCAGCCGCAGACUCCAUAACUGAACUUCCUGCAACAGCUGGACAAUCCACAGCUACACCUCCUGCUCCUACAGUAACACAAUCCAAAACUACUCCAAGAGCAACACAAUCGACUGCUGCACCACCACCUUUUAUACCUGCACAAUCCAACACUACACCAACUUCUACAGUAGCUCAGUCAACAAAUAUACACCCUGAUCCUAGAGUAACACAACCCACAGCUACACCUUCUGCUACUACAACUGCACACUCUAUCACUACACCACAAUCUCCAACAAUGGAACAAUUCACAACUAUGCCAGCAGCUCCUACAAUGGCACAAUCCAUGACUUCGCCUGCAAACCUGACAGUGGCACAAUCCAACGCCACUCCAACUCCCACAGUAACAAAAUCCACCACCACACCACCACCUCCUGUAGCCAUAUCUCCUACAACAACUGUACAAUCAACAUCCACACCAAAAGUUCCAAUAGCAACACAAUCCACAACGACACCAUCUGUUCCUACAGCCACACAAUCCAUCAAUACAGUACCAGCUCCUACAGUGACAAUAUCCACCACUACACCUCCUUUGCCUAAAGAACAACAAUCCACAACUACACUACCAGCUCCUACAGCCACAGACUCUAUUACUGAACCUCCUGUAACAACUGCACCAUCCACAACUACACCUCUUGCUCCUACAGUGUCACACUCCACUGCUACACCCCUUGCUCCCACAGCCACAGACUUCACCACUACACCACCAGCUUCUACAGUGGCACAAUCCACCGCUACACAACCAGUUACUACAGUGGUACAAUCCACCAGUACACCUGCUGCGCCUAUGAUGACACAGUCCUCAACUACAUCUCCUGCUCUUAAAUUGGCACAAUCCACCACUAAACCUUCUGAUCCUAUAAUGGCACAGUCCUCAACUACAUCUUUUGCAACAACUGCACAAUUCACCACUAAACCACCAGUUCCUACAGUUGAACAAUCCACAAAAACAGCGAUUUAUCCUACAGUGGCACAACCCACCACUAACCUUUCUGCUCCUACAGUAGCACAGUCCACAACUACACCUCUUUCUCUUACAGUCACACACUCCAGCACUACAUCUCUUGCAAGAACCGCAUAUUCAACCAGCACACCUGCUGCUCCUAUAGUGGCACAGUCCACGUUACCUUCUUAUUCUACAUUGGCAACAAUCCACCUCUACUCUUCCUGCAACAUUUGCACAACUCACCACUACACCACC